UUUAUCGCCAUUGGAUGGGCCCGCGUCGGAUUAGCUAGUUGGUGAGGUAAUGGCUCACCAAGGCGACGAUCCGUAGCUGGUCUGAGAGGAUGAUCAGCCACACUGGGACUGAGACACGGCCCAGACUCCUACGGGAGGCAGCAGUGGGGAAUAUUGGACAAUGGGCGCAAGCCUGAUCCAGCCAUGCCGCGUGAGUGACGAAGGCCUUAGGGUUGUAAAGCUCUUUUGGCGGGGACGAUAAUGACGGUACCCGCAGAAUAAGCCCCGGCUAACUUCGUGCCAGCAGCCGCGGUAAUACGAAGGGGGCUAGCGUUGUUCGGAAUCACUGGGCGUAAAGCGCACGUAGGCGGAUUUGUUAGUCAGGGGUGAAAUCCCGGGGCUCAACCUCGGAACUGCCUUUUGAUACUGCAAGUCUCGAGUCCGGAAGAGGUGAGUGGAAUUCCUAGUGUAGAGGUGAAAUUCGUAGAUAUUAGGAAGAACACCAGUGGCGAAGG
rnacentral:rRNA from 1 species